rnacentral:lncRNA from 1 species
CUAGGAGCCAAAUCCCUAUGUGCUUGGUGAUUUCACUGAUUUUGCUACAGUUCUUACAUUCCAACUGUAUGCCAGGGGUGGUGCUUGUAGAUUUCACUCAUUCUUAGCCUAGUAGGAGCUACCAGUCCUUCAGCACCUGCUGUGUGCCAGGCACUGUGCUUAGUAAUUUCACUCAUAUGCAAAGAGCGCCCUCAUUGUCUGAGCACGUGCUGCCUGCCUAGCACUGUCCUGGUGAUGCCCUUAUCGUGGUGGUGGGAGCUACAUUAUGGAGCCCUCCCUGUGAUCUGUCUGUGCCACAGGGUCACAGCUUCUGCCCUGUGCUGUUUCAGUUCCACCCACCUCGGAGGUUACUCAACAGCCCAUGAGGGCAGAGAACCAGGUGAACAUCACCUGCCAGGUGAGCAACUUCUACCCCCAGAGACUCCUGCUGACCUGGUUGGAGAAUGGAAAUGUGUCUCAGACAGAAACCUCGACCCUCGGACUGGAUGAGUGCUCCCACCUGGACACGAUGUGGUGCUCACCUGCCAGGUGGAGCAUGAUGGACAGCCAGCGGUCAGCAAAAGCCAUACCCUGGAGAUCUCAGCGCACCAGAAGGAGCAGGACUCAGAUGUCACCCAUGGAGGAUAAGCUGACAGCCUGGGACAGAGUGAGUGAGAAUGAGGAUCCACUUUCCCUGGCCUUUGCUUUCGGCUGGAGUCAGGGAAGCCAGAGCAGGAUGCAAGUUCAAAAGCCUCAGAGCACUGAUGGGCCCAAGUAGCCUCAGAUGGGGUAAGUGCAGGCCCCUGAGAUGAGCUCCCAGGUGGCUCCUCUCAUGGCUCCUCCUCUUCCCUGAUUUCCAGGCCUGGCGCUGGCUCCUACUGCUCCACUUCUCAUAGCUCUCCUCCUGGGCUCCAAGGUGCUACUGGUGGUUGGUGUCUCUGCCAUCUACAUUUGCUGGAAACAGAAGGCCUGACUGUAAGUGUGGGAGAGGGAGGACUGACCAAGGGCUGCCCAGAAGGGCAAGGCCAGUGGGAGGGCCCAGCUCACUUGCCAUGCAGCUUCAGGGUCAGUGAAGUUUACAGAAGGUGACAGGGCUCCCUCAGGAUACUCAGGAGUCUCAGGGAACCCUGUAUGGGGCUCCCAACCCCAGGAGGUGGGCAGGAGGUGAGAUGUCUCAAGGGUG